rnacentral:rRNA from 1 species
AGCAGCCGCGGUAAUUCCAGCUCCAAUAGCGUAUAUUAAAGUUGUUGCAGUUAAAAAGCUCGUAGUUGAAUUUCGGGAUCAAUAUGUUGGUCGUGCCUCGGUACGCACUGGCAUCGUUGAUUUCUACCUUCUGAUGAACCAUGAUGCCAUUAAUUUGGUGUCAGGGGAAUCAGGACUGUUACUUUGAAAAAUUAGAGUGUUUAAAGCAGGCUCACGCUUGAAUACAUUAGCAUGGAAUAAUGAAAUAGGACGUUUGAUUCUAUUUUGUUGGUUUCUAGGAUCGACGUAAUGAUUAAUAGGGAUAGUUGGGGGCAUUAGUAUUCAAUUGUCAGAGGUGAAAUUCUUGGAUUUAUUGAAGACUAACAACUGCGAAAGCAUUUGCCAAGGAUGUUUUCAUUAAUCAAGAACGAAAGUUAGGGGAUCGAAGACGAUCAGAUACCGUCGUAGUCUUAACCAUAAACUAUGCCGACUAGGGAUCGGAUGAUGUUAAUUUUAUAA